AGCAGUGGGGAAUUUUCCGCAAUGGGCGCAAGCCUGACGGAGCAACGCCGCGUGAGGGAGGAAGGCCUUAGGGUUGUAAACCUCUUUUCUCUGGGAAGAAGAUCUGACGGUACCAGAGGAAUAAGCCUCGGCUAACUCCGUGCCAGCAGCCGCGGUAAUACGGAGGAGGCAAGCGUUAUCCGGAAUUAUUGGGCGUAAAGCGUCCGCAGGCGGCUUUUUAAGUCUGUUGUUAAAGCUCANNGCUNAACUGUGAAUCGGCANUGAAAACUGAANAGCUUGAGUGUGGUAGGGGUAGAGGGAAUUCCCGGUGUAGCGGUGAAAUGCGUAGAUAUCGGGAAGAACACCAGUGGCGAAGGCGCUCUACUGGGCCACAACUGACGCUGAGGGACGAAAGCUAGGGGAGCGAAAGGGAUUAGAUACCCCUGUAGUCCUAGCUGUAAACGAUGGAUACUAGGUGUUGCGCGUAUCGACCCGUGCAGUNCCGUAGCUAACGCGUUAAGUAUNCCGCCUGGGAGUACGC
rnacentral:rRNA from 1 species